rnacentral:lncRNA from 1 species
UUGGUUUGAAGAUCUUUGAGCAAAAGAGCAAGUUUGGAAGCUUGGAGAACAAAGAGUGGAUUUCUCCCUACCUCCAAGCUAGGAUCGUCUUCCCUCUCGAUCUUCAAGAGGUAAGCUUAGAUCCAACCUUUCUUGCAUGUUUUAAACAAGUUUUAUGAAGAUCUAUGGGGUAGAAAUGCAUGUUAGGUUUUUGUUAUGUUUAUGGGUUUAUGUAUGUUUAUGAGCAAUGUGGGUUGUUUGAUGUGUUGUAGUUGGG